GCAGAGAGUAGACCCCUUGGGAGAGCACCCCCCUGGAAGCCAGGACCACACAGAGAAACCCAUGCCCAGGAGAAGACGGCAAAAGCCUGGACCCAAGGCAAGGGUGGCCAAGGACCUGGCUUCUAGCAGAAGCACGGUGCUGCCGGACACCUCUCUGGACGGGGAAGGUCUGAGAUCCAUCUGGAAGAGCGUUUCUCAAAUCAAGAGAUGCUACUCGGAGAAAGGGUUUCACAGCCAAGCAGGGCCUGCAAGAGUCCCGGACCCAGGUCUCUAAGAGGCACUUAGCAGUUGUC